rnacentral:rRNA from 1 species
AUGAACGCUAGCGGGAGGCCUAACACAUGCAAGCCGAGCGGUAGAAAGUAGCUUGCUACUUUUGAGAGCGGCGUACGGGUGCGUGACACGUGUGCAACCUGCCUUUAUCUGGAGAAUAGCCUUCCGAAAGGAAGAUUAAUGCUCCAUAACAUAUUGAAUGGCAUCAUUUAAUAUUGAAAGCUCCGGCGGAUAGAGAUGGGCGCGCGCAAGAUUAGUUAGUUGGUGAGGUAACGGCUCACCAAGGCGAUGAUCUUUAGGGGGCCUGAGAGGGGGAUCCCCCACACUGGUACUCAGACACGGACCAGACUCCUACGGGAGGCAGCAGUGAGGAAUAUUGGACAAUGGGUGAAAGCCUGAUCCAGCCAUCCCGCGUGAAGGAUGACGGCCCUAUGGGUUGUAAACUUCUUUUGUAUAGGGAUAAACCUACCCUCGUGAGGGUAGCUGAAGGUACUAUACGAAUAAGCACCGGCUAACUCCGUGCCAGCCGCCGCCGUAA